rnacentral:rRNA from 1 species
UACGAAGGGGGCUAGCGUUGCUCGGAAUCACUGGGCGUAAAGCGCACGUAGGCGGAUUGUUAAGUCAGGGGUGAAAUCCUGGAGCUCAACUCCAGAACUGCCUUUGAUACUGAAGAUCUUGAGUUCGGGAGAGGUGAGUGGAACUGCGAGUGUAGAGGUGAAAUUCGUAGAUAUUCGCAAGAACACCAGUGGCGAAGGCGGCUCACUGGCCCGAUACUAACGCUGAGGCACGAAAGCGUGGGGAGCAAACAGG